UACCAUCCCGGUCUUAGCCACUGUCCCGUA
rnacentral:piRNA from 1 species